rnacentral:tRNA from 1 species
UCGGAUAUGGUGUAACGGCUAACAUUGCCGCCUGCCAUAGGUGGUAUUUCUUCAUCUGCGGUAGCUUAGGGUUCGAUUCUCCGCAUCCAAU